CCUACGGGAGGCAGCAGUGGGGGAUAUUGCACAAUGGGGGGAACCCUGAUGCAGCGACGCCGCGUGGGUGAAGGAGGGCUUCGGGAUGGAAAGCCCUAUCGGCAGGGAAGAAGCAAGACGGAACCGGACGAAGAAGCGCCGGCGAACUACGUGCCAGCAGCCGCGGUAAGACGGAGGGGGCGAGCGUUAUCCGGAUUCCCUGGGUGUAAAGGGAGCGAAGCCGGCCAUUCAAGCCAGGGGUGACAGCCCGGGGCCCAACCCCGGGACUGCCCUUGGAACUGUGCGGCGAGAGUGCGGGAGGGGCCGGCGGAAUUCCUGGUGUAGCGGUGAACUGCUUAGAUAUCAGGAGGAACUCCGGCUGCGAAGGCGGCCUGCUGGACUGCGUCUGACGUUGCUGCUCGAAAGCGUGGGUAGCGAACAGGAUUAGAUACCCCAGUAGUC
rnacentral:rRNA from 1 species